rnacentral:rRNA from 1 species
UACGUAGGCAGCAAGCGUUGUUCGGAAUUACUGGGCGUAAAGAGUGUGUAGGCGGUGCUCUAAGUCUGUUGUGAAAUCUCCCGGCUUAACUGGGAGGGUGCGGCGGAGACUGGAGUGCUAGAGUGUGGGAGAGGUAAGCGGAAUUCCUAGUGUAGCGGUGAAAUGCGUAGAUAUCAGGAGGAACACCUGUGGUGUAGACAGCUUACUGGACCACGACUGACGCUGAGACACGAAAGCGUGGGUAGCAAACAGG